rnacentral:rRNA from 1 species
CUUAGUACGGUAGAAGUUCAUCGGAAUUUCCUGUGUAGCGUGAAAUGCGAAGAUAAAAGGAAGAACACCAUGGAGGAAGGGCGGAUGCCGGACGGCUACUUGACGGUGAGGCGCGAAAGCGUGGGGAGCAAUCAGGGAUACAUACCUGGGUAGUCCACGCUGUAAAGGAUCGAUAUUAGGUGGGGGGGGACUGACCCCCCUGCGUGCCGCAGUUAACACAAUAAGUAUCGCACCUGGGGAGUACGAUCGCAAGGUUGAAACUCAAAGGAAUUGACGGGGGCCCGCACAAGCGGUGGAUUAUGUUGUUUUAAUUCGAAGCAACGCGAAGAACCUUACCAGGGCUUGACAUCCUGCUAACGAAGUAGAGAUACAUCAGGUGCCCUUCGGGGAAAGCAGAGACAGGUGGUGCAUGGUUGUCGUCAGCUCGUGUCGUGAGAUGUUGGGUUAAGUCCCGCAACGAGCGCAACCCCUAUUGUUAGUUGCUACGCAAGAGCAUUCUAGCGAGACUGCCGUUGACAAAACGGAGGAAGGUGGGGACGACGUCAAAUCAUCAUGCCCCUUAUGUCCUGGGCUACACACGUAAUACAAUGGCGGUCAACAGAGGGAUGCAAAGCCGCGAGGCAGAGCGAACCCCUAAAAGCCGUCCCAGUUCGGAUCGCAGGCUGCAACCCGCCUGCGUGAAGUCGGAAUCGCUAGUAAUCGCGGAUCAGCAUGCCGCGGUGAAUACGUUCCCGGGCCUUGUACACACCGCCCGUCACACCAUGAGAGUCGGGAACACCCGAAGUCCGUAGCCUAACAGCAAUGAGGCGCGGCCCGAAAGGUGUUCGAUUUGUA